rnacentral:rRNA from 1 species
AGUGAACGCUGGCGGUAGGCCUAACACAUGCAAGUCGAACGGCAGCACAGUAAGAGCUUGCUCUUACGGGUGGCGAGUGGCGGACGGGUGAGGAAUACAUCGGAAUCUACUUUUUCGUGGGGGAUAACGUAGGGAAACUUACGCUAAUACCGCAUACGACCUACGGGUGAAAGCAGGGGAUCUUCGGACCUUGCGCGAUUGAAUGAGCCGAUGUCGGAUUAGCUAGUUGGCGGGGUAAAGGCCCACCAAGGCGACGAUCCGUAGCUGGUCUGAGAGGAUGAUCAGCCACACUGGAACUGAGACACGGUCCAGACUCCUACGGGAGGCAGCAGUGGGGAAUAUUGGACAAUGGGCGCAAGCCUGAUCCAGCCAUACCGCGUGGGUGAAGAAGGCCUUCGGGUUGUAAAGCCCUUUUGUUGGGAAGGAAAAGCAGCAGGUUAAUACCCCGCUGUUCUGACGGUACCCAAAGAAUAAGCACCGGCUAACUUCGUA